UACGAAGGGGGCUAGCGUUGCUCGGAAUUACUGGGCGUAAAGGGCGCGUAGGCGGUGUGUCAAGUCAGGCGUGAAAGCCCCGGGCUCAACCUGGGAACCGCGCUUGAGACUGGCACGCUCGAGUUCGGGAGAGGAUGGCGGAAUUCCCAGUGUAGAGGUGAAAUUCGUAGAUAUUGGGAAGAACACCGAUGGCGAAGGCAGCCAUCUGGACCGACACUGACGCUGAGGCGCGAAAGCGUGGGGAGCAAACAGG
rnacentral:rRNA from 1 species